GCCUUCUUAGAUUAGUGGUAGAGCGCGUGGUUUUUAACCACGUGGUCGUGGGUUCAAUCCCCACAAACGGUG
rnacentral:tRNA from 1 species